GGCUUGGUGGCAUAGCGGUAAUGCAUUCCGAAUUCCUACAUAGGUGUUUUGUUUUUGGAGGGUACGGAGUUCGAUUCUCUGUCGAGCCA